AGACAAUAGAUACCCUGGUAGUCCUGGCCUUAAACGAUGAUCACUAGGUGUAGGAGGCUUCGACCCCUUCUGCGCCGCCGCUAACGCAUUAAGUGAUCCGCCUGGGGAGUACGGCCGCAAGGUUAAAACUCAAAGGAAUUGACGGGGGCCCGCACAAGCAGUGGAGCAUGUGGUUUAAUUCGAUGCUACGCGAAAAACCUUACCAGGGUUUGACAUCCCAGUGUAACCCCAUAGAAAUAUGGGGCCCCUUCGGGCACUGGUGACAGGUGGUGCAUGGUUGUCGUCAGCUCGUGCCGUGAGGUGUUGGAUUAAGUUCCGCAACGAGCGCAACCCUCGUUGCUAGUUGCCAUCAUUAAGUUGGGCACUCUAGCGAGACUGCCAGCGUCAAGCUGGAGGAAGGUGGGGAUGACGUCAAAUCAUCAUGCCCCUUACAUCCUGGGCUACACACGUGCUACAAUGGCCGGUACAACAGGUUGCUACCUCGCGAGAGGAUGCGAAUCCCCAAAGCCGGUCUCAGUUCGGAUUGCA
rnacentral:rRNA from 1 species